AGAGCGAACGCUGGCGGCAGGCCUAACACAUGCAAGUCGAGCGGCCGUAGCAAUACGGCAGCGGCAGACGGGAGAGUAACACGUGGGAACGCGCCCUUCGGUUCGGAAUAACUCAGGGAAACUUGGGCUAAUACCGGAUACGCCCUUACGGGGAAAGAUUUAUUGCCGAAGGAACGGCCCGCGUCCGAUUAGCUUGUUGGUGAGGUAACGGCUCACCAAGGCGACGAUCGGUAGCUGGUCUGAGAGGAUGACCAGCCUCACUGGGACUGAGACACGGCCCAGACUCCUACGGGAGGCAGCAGUGGGGAAUAUUGGACAAUGGGCGCAAGCCUGAUCCAGCCAUGCCGCGUGGUGAUGAAGGCCCUAGGGUUGUAAAGCCCUUUCGGCGGGGAAGAUAAUGACGGUACCCGCAGGAAGAACGCCCGGCUAACUUCGUGCCAGCAGCCGC
rnacentral:rRNA from 1 species